AUUUAAAAUGACUACAGUUGUGAACAUUUGACUUGCUUUGACAUUUUUAAAGGACGAACAACUGACCUAGAUAUUGAUCCAGUGGAGAUGGUACUGAAUAUCUUCUAUCACAUUUUCCUUUCACAGUUUGUGAUACUGCUGAGGAGGGCUUUUCUGCAUGUUACUGGUUUUGACCUAACACAGAAAUUACAAUGUAAGACAUAAGCCCUUUAUAAGCACACUUGUUUUCUCUGCUAAUACAUUGAAAGAACAUUGUGAUGAUUUUAAAAGGGACAUUGCUCAGCGAUACAGUUUUGGCAGGUAUGCAUGUUGAUUUAAUCAGCAGAGCUUAUUGUUAGAAAGCUAGGAAAUCCUAUACCUCAUUGUAAUCAUUUAUAGACAGAAAAAAAUUCCCUCCUUCUUCACUUGGUUAAAUAGUCAAAGUUGUUCUUGAAUUUGAGGUGAAGUCAACACCUUCCACUUUGGGCAGAUGUUCUUACACAAUUCACAUAAAUGCUGAAUGGAAAUAGUAAAUAGAUUGUAUUGAGUUUAAAUGUAUGCCUAACUUUUACAGUGUAUACAUCAAACAACGAACCAGUUUCAGUCUCGCAUUCCCAUAUCCAGUGAUAGUCCAGUGUCAAAUAAAAUACAUGCUUUAAACUACUGGUCAAGCACUGUUGUACACUGAAUAGUGACUCUGAGGACAGUCACUUGAAGUUUACUUUUUAGUUGUCUCACAGCGACAUCUGUUUGAAAUCUGUCUUGAUUAGAAAGAACAAAGAUUUGUGAUCAAACUAGUGGACCUGAAAUUUAACUUGAAAUCCAAAAAAUAGUCUGUGAUCUUGCACCAAGAGUCUACAAAAAAAGAUACCUUUGGUUGUACAUUAGUAAUGACAGCUGUCUCAUGCUGUAUUUCCCUCAGUGGAUUUCUCCCUAUGAAGUUACCAAAAUCCCUCAGUUUUGCUGAAGAAUCGUGUUCUUGUCCAGCUAUACUACUGCUUUACAGCCGAGGACUGGUUUUCUUAUCUUUUUCCCACCUCUUUUUCGUAACCUACGUGGGAUGCAGGUCUUAUACCAAGCUAAAUGUUUUAGGACUAAUUCUACAACUCAGGUCUGACUCAUGUAGUAUGUGAUCCAGGUGCCCGCAAGAUUAUUGGAGCCAGAAGCCCGUGCAAGGCUGCAGCACAUGAGCUGAAUGUGCUACAGAGGCUCUGUGGUCAUGGGUGAUGCUCUUCUCAAAAUAACUGCAGCUUCAUAGCUUCUGAGUCACACCUCUCUUGUUCUUGGUUGGAUAAGCAUGCAGGCAAAAUAGAUAUGUAUUCCCAGAGACACCUCUCAGUCAUUUUGUCACUUAUUUUUUAGAAUUUUCUGUUCCUAAAGGUAUAUGAAUAUAUAUGAAAGCCUGUUAAGUUUUUCUUGAGUGGUCCUUUACUCCUGGCAAAUGCAGUGGCUCUAUCUAUGUCAGUUCAUGUGCAAUGCACAUUACAAACCGUUGCUGUCUUUUAGUCUUCUUAAGAGCACAGAAUCCACAUUCUUAUCUCCAAAAUCUGCCCAUGCCAUUCAGGUAGAAGCUCUAUUAUAAACUGCUUUAUGCUGCUUACUAGUCUUUCUCCUUUAAGUGCUGAAACCUCAUAGGACUGGUUUUUUUUCCAAGGUAUUCAUACAGAAAAUAUUCAAAAUUCACACAAGAAUUGUACUUCUUGUCAACAAAAUUUCUGCCAGUAAAUACAAUUUUAUUAGAAACUUGCAUAUUUUCUAAAUGUUUGAAAUAAACAACCUUCGUAAUGAUGAUAGUCCAGUAAUCAUGAGAUAAAUCAAAAGUUUUUAUUUUACAAACUUGUACAGUCUUCUGCCUUGAUCACUAGUGCUUAAGUACAGAACUGUUUUGUUGCCUGCAUGUAUUUAAGGGGGAAAAAUAAAUAAUAAGGAUUAAAAAAGUCUUCGUAGAAGGAUAUUUUUUUCUAGCAUUUUUGUCUUUAACAUAACUCGAGCCCUGGAAGUUCUUAUAGAUAAAAAUGACAUGGUAAUUUUUGAAAGGUUUAAUAUUGCUUGUGGAGCCUUGUCUUUUCUCCGUUAUAUGUGCUUGAAAUUUAUGCAGUUUGCUUUUCUUAGCCAUGAAACUUUCACCUUUGAAAU